rnacentral:rRNA from 1 species
ACUGAACGCUGGCGGCAGGCCUAACCCAUGCAAGUCGAACGGUAACAGGAAGCAGCUUGCUGCUUCGCUGACGAGUGGCGGACGGGUGAGUAAUGUCUGGGAAACUGCCUGAUGGAGGGGGAUAACUACUGGAAACGGUAGCUAAUACCGCAUAACGUCGCAAGACCAAAGAGGGGGACCUUCGGGCCUCUUGCCAUCGGAUGUGCCCAGAUGGGAUUAGCUAGUAGGUGGGGUAACGGCUCACCUAGGCGACGAUCCCUAGCUGGUCUGAGAGGAUGACCAGCCACACUGGAACUGAGACACGGUCCAGACUCCUACGGGAGGCAGCAGUGGGGAAUAUUGCACAAUGGGCGCAAGCCUGAUGCAGCCAUGCCGCGUGUAUGAAGAAGGCCUUCGGGUUGUAAAGUACUUUCAGCGGGGAGGAAGGGAGUAAAGUUAAUACCUUUGCUCAUUGACGUUACCCGCAGAAGAAGCACCGGCUAACUCCGUGCCAGCCGCCGCGGUAA